rnacentral:rRNA from 1 species
UAUUCUAUAAAUGAAAGUGUAAGCAUUCCACCUCAAGAGUAAUUUGGCAACAUUGGAACUGAAAUCAUUAGACCGUUUCUGAAACCAGUAGUGAAGUAUGUUGUUUAAUUUGAUGAUACGCAAAAAACCUUACCACAAUUUGAAUAUUUAUAUAUAUCUUUUAUUGAUUUUUACUAACAUAUAUGUAGACAAUUAAAAUGAUGCUUAUCUCUCGUUUGUGAGACUAAGCAUCAAAAAAGAUAGUAUAUUUACAAGCGUUGCACGGCUGUCUUCAGUUAAUGUCGUGAGAUUUUGGUUAGUUCCAUUAAAUUAACGUAAACCCUUACUUUAUUUUUAUAUAAAGUAGUUCUCCGCUAUAUUGGAUA